UCCGAUCUUCUUGGUGCAUUGUCCGCUCUUCUAGGCCUGAUUACCAAACUCAUGGCACGAAGCCUUCCGUCGACAUGUCGACCGAUCCUUCGGCUUGACGUCUGAUUUUCUGAUAUUUUCCACUCUGGCCCAACAUUAAUUCUUCCUGAUUUAAUUGUCUCUUUAUGAUCGAAGCUAGUCUUGUAUUACUCAAAACGUAGAUUAGAUCAUAAACUCUAUCAAUUGGUUUCAUCAUCAAAAUCUGAGAUUUAAUUUUAUCCUCUUGGUUGGAGCAUGUGCAAUGUUUUCCUUCAUCCUCUUGAUAGAUCCUUAGUAGCAAUAGUUGAAACCUUAAGGUAAGCCUAAGACCUCCUCUACUACCACUGGUGGCAUCAAUUCCUCAAGCCAUCGAAGAUCACUAGAAAAAUGGAUUUGGAUGGCCUUUAUUGCCCAUGUAAUUGCCAUCAACUCGAAGAUUGUUGUCCCCGGCAUCCCUUCCUUUGUCUUUAGCAAUAAAUCCUAUAAAUAGCCCCCACUCUCUAGUGAAGAGGAUAAGGAGGCAGCGGAGGAGAAGGUAUAUUAGAGCAAAUAACAAGUAGGGGUAGCAGGCAUCAAGUGUUCGAGGGGCAAUGGGUCAAAGGAGUU
rnacentral:lncRNA from 1 species